GCGAGAGGUGCCCAGCUAGGUCAAAAGCGCUUUUCAGAACCUGGUUUCGUAGGAAUUCGUGCGUUCGAAUCGCACCUCUCGCA
rnacentral:tRNA from 1 species